GCCUACCAUGGUUUUAACGGGUAACGGGGAAUUAGGGUUCGAUUCCGGAGAGGGAGCCUGAGAAACGGCUACCACAUCCAAGGAAGGCAGCAGGCGCGCAAAUUACCCAAUCCCGACACGGGGAGGUAGUGACAAUAAAUAACAAUACAGGGCUCUUACGGGUCUUGUAAUUGGAAUGAGUACAAUUUAAAUCCCUUAACGAGGAACAAUUGGAGGGCAAGUCUGGUGCCAGCAGCCGCGGUAAUUCCAGCUCCAAUAGCGUAUAUUAAAGUUGUUGCAGUUAAAAAGCUCGUAGUUGAAUUUCGGAGUUCUACCGUCGGUCGGGCUACCAAGUCUGUACUGGUGUGUAGAAUUCCUACCUUCUGGGGAACUAUCAUGUUAUUAAUUUAGCGUGGUGGGAAACCAGGACCUUUACCUUGAAAAAAUUAGAGUGUUCAAGCAGGCUUAUGUCUGAAUACAUUAGCAUGGAAUAAUAGAAUAGGACGGUGGUCCUGUUUUGUUGGUUUCUGAAUCACCGUAAUGAUUAAUAGGGAUAGUUGGGGGCAUUAGUAUUCAAUUGUCAGAGGUGAAAUUCUUGGAUUUAUUGAAGACUAACUUCUGCGAAAGCAUUUGCCAAGGAUGUUUUCAUUAAUCAAGAACGAAAGUUAGGGGAUCGAAGACGAUCAGAUACCGUCGUAGUCUUAACCAUAAACUAUGCCGACUAGGGAUCGGACGAUGUUAAAUUUUAUUGACUCGUUCGGCGCCUUACG
rnacentral:rRNA from 1 species